rfam:Fukomys damarensis contig133550, whole genome shotgun sequence.
AGCUUUGCGCAGUGGCAGUAUAGUAGCCAAUGAGGUUUAUCCGAGGAGUGAUUAUUGCUAAUUGAAAAAAAUAUGUUUCAACCAAAUUUUAUCUGUAUUUAUUAUACUCUAUAGCUAUUAAUUUUAUAAUGAUACAAAUACAU